rnacentral:rRNA from 1 species
GAUGAACGCUGGCGGCGUGCCUAAUACAUGCAAGUCGAACGAACGGACGAGGAGCUUGCUCCUCUGGGGUUAGCGGCGGACGGGUGAGUAACACGUGGAUAACCUACCUAUAAGACUGGGAUAACUUCGGGAAACCGGAGCUAAUACCGGAUAAUAUUUUGAACCGCAUGGUUCAAAAGUGAAAGACGGUCUUGCUGUCCCUUAUAGAUGGAUCCCGUUGGCAUUAGCUAGUGGGUAAGGUAACGGUCUACCAAGGGAACAGUCAUUAGCCGCCCGGAGAGGGGGUCCGGCCACACGGGAACUGGGACACGGUCCAGACUCCUACGGGAGGCAGAGGUAGGGAAUCUUGGGCAAUGGGCGAAAGCCGGACGGAGCAACGCGGCGUGGUUGAGGAAGGUCUUCGGUCCGUAAAACUCUGUGAUUAGGGAGGACCAGAUGUGUAAGGAACUGUGCACAUCUUGACGGUACCUAAUCAGAAAGCCACGGCUAACUACGUG